GAUGAACGCUGGCGGCGUGCUUAACACAUGCAAGUCGAACGGAAAGGCCCAAGCUUGCUUGGGUACUCGAGUGGCGAACGGGUGAGUAACACGUGGGUGAUCUGCCCUGCACUUCGGGAUAAGCCUGGGAAACUGGGUCUAAUACCGGAUAGGACCACUUCUUGGAUGUUGUGGUGGAAAGUUUUUUCGGUGUGGGAUGAGCUCGCGGCCUAUCAGCUUGUUGGUGGGGUAAUGGCCUACCAAGGCGUCGACGGGUAGCCGGCCUGAGAGGGUGUACGGCCACAUUGGGACUGAGAUACGGCCCAGACACCGACGGGAGGCAGAAGUGGGGAAUAUUGCACAAUGGGCGCAAGCCUGAUGCAGCGACGCCGCGUGGGGGAUGACGGCCUUCGGGUUGUAAACUCCUUUCGCUAGGGACGAAGCGUUUUGUGACGGUACCUGGAGAAGAAGCACCGGCUAACUACGUG
rnacentral:rRNA from 1 species